rnacentral:rRNA from 1 species
UACAGAGGUCUCAACCUUUGUUCGGAUUCAUUGGGCGUAAAGGGUGCGUAGGCGGUCGCGCAAAGUCGGAUGUGAAAUCUCGAAGCUCCAACCUCGAAACUGCAUUCGAUACUGCGUGGCUAGAGGUGCUGGGAGGGGAGACUGGAAUUUACGGUGUAAGCAGUGAAAUGCGUAGAUAUCGUAAGGAAGACCAGUGGCGAAGGCGAGUCUCUGGACAGCAACUGACGCU